rnacentral:sRNA from 1 species
AACCGGUGAAGCAACUAAGAGCACGUACAUAGAGUAUCAUUAGUAAAUUUUUAAUAUUAAUUAGAUUAUAACCCGCGGUACACCGUAGAGACAAUUAAUUUUUUUAAAUUAGUAUAUAUAAAAGUCUGCAAAUUAUAUUUAUCUAUAAAAAUAAAUAUUUUUUAUAGUUUACAAUUGUUAUUAAGUAACAUCUUUUCAAACUCGUUCCGUCAAACCCGUCCCGUUAAAAAAAUCCACGGUACACCGCUAAUUUAAAUAAAUAUUUUACAGGAUUGCAAUUAUAUUUUAGUUUGUCAAACAAAUUUUUGUUUUAAAUAGUUGUCGAAAUCUAGUUCAAAUAUUGGAGAAAUAAGAUUUAAUGAACUGAUAAGAAAUGUAUUUAGGUGAGUUUUGCUCAUUUUAAGGGAUUGCAAUUGUAUUUUGGUUUGUCAAAUAUUUUUUGUUUUAAAUAGUUUCCAAAAUCUAGUUCAAAUUUUGGAGAAAUCUGCGUGAUAUAUGGGAUUGAAAUAUGUUUGGAAUAUUUUUUGUUUGUUAAUCAAUUCAUUGCCAAAAGAAAACCAAUAAUUAAAAGCAGUGACAGCCAUUGUAAAUAAGUUCCAACUCCAAGAUUUAUUUCACAAAAUGGCUGCAAAAAUGUAUAUGUAGAUUUUAAUGUUUAUUUAUUGUUUAAAAUUUUGUAUGAUACUUAUAUGGUUUUUGGUGAUAUUGUUACCAGUAUAAUAAAAAAUCUCAAACAAUAAAUAGACAUUAAAAUUAAUACUAAAAAAUUGUUAAUAAUACUCAUUGAAUAUCAACUAUGUGCAUGCUCUAAGACCAUGUUUAUAUGAACAACACAGCUCAAAACGACAGAUCUUUGAGAAGAUUGACAAUCCAUGUGAUUUCUGAAACUGUUUCUGACAUGGCUCUAUAUUCUACUUCAGUGGAACUCUUGGCUACUGUAGGUUGUUUUCUUGAUGACCAAGAGAUGAGGUUGUUGCCUAGAAAAGUGCAGAAACCUCCAGUGGAUCUCCUUGUAGAGUGACAACCAGCAUGAUCGCUAUCACUGUAAGCCCUCAAUUUACAAUCUGUAUCCUUGUUGAAGGAGAUUCCCAUUGUAGUGGUACCCUUGACAUAUCUCAGGAUCCGUUUGAGCAAGUGAAAAUCUGAUAAAGUAGGAGCAUGCAUCUUCUGACAAACAUAGUUAACAGAGAAUUGAAUAUCUCGUCUUGUGAGUGUCAGAUACUAUAAUCUCCCUGCCAAGCUACAAAAAUAAGUUGGAUUUUCGAAGAGCUCAGAUUGAUGAGGAGCAUUAUCUAGCUGAAUUGGUAGUGGUGUAGCUACUGGUGAGCAGUCUUUCAUGGCUGUAAUGAUUAGUAGAUCUUAAGCAUACUUUUGUUGGGAUAGAAAGAGACCUUUUUGAUGAAAUUGAGCCUGAAUUCCCAAAAAAUAGUUUAGUUUGCCUAGAUCUUUCAUCUUAAACUGCUUGUUGAGUUCAUUGAGGAGAUUGGAUAGUAGUUUUGAGCUGUUCCUAGUGAUCACCAUAUCAUCGACGUAGAGUAGAAGCAUGAUGACAUCUGAUUUCUUUACGCAGACAAAAAGUGAGGGAUCUGAGAAACUGCACAUAAAACCAAAAGAGAUUAAGAAGUUACUGAAUUUAUCAAACCAAGCUCGUGGAGACUGUUUUAAUCCGUAGAGAGACUUGUGUAGCAGACACACAUGAUUUGGUAAGGCCUUGUUGAUAAAAUCAGCUGGUUGUUUCAUAUACACAGUUUCAGUAAGAUCUCCAUGAAGAAAGGCGUUCUUUACAUCCAUUUGCUUCAGUUCCCAAUUCAUGAUGGUUGCAAGGUGCAGGACUGCUCUAACGGUAGCUGAUCUAACCACAGGGCUGUAAGUCUCAAGGUAAUCAAUUCCCUCUUCUUGGUUGAAGCCCUGAGCUACUAGUCUUGACUUAUACUUGUCUAGAGAUCCAUCUGCUAGGAGUUUGAUUCUGAAAACCCACUUGGAACCUAGAACGUUCAUGUGUGUUUAAAAGGUACUAUAGACCAAGUAUUUGUUUCAGAACAAUUUUCCAUUUCUUCAACCGUUGCAGCAGUCCACUUUUCAUCUUUUAAAGCUUCAGUGACUGUUUUUGGUGUUGGAUGAGAAAUUUUAUGUGUAAGCAGUGCAUACCUUUUAUUUGGUUUGCUAAUGCCUGUCUUUGAUCUUGUAACCAUAGGAUGAGUUGACUCUGUAGUUUUGAUGACGUCUGAUGUUGAUUGCUCUUGGUCAGAAGAUGACGAAGCAACGCUGUUGCCUAUAGGAUCAAGAUCUAAGCUUGUCGUACACUCAGGACGUUGCUCAUCACUUCUAGACAAUCGCUGUUGAGGAAGAAUCAUUUGGAGAGGUGUAACACUUAUUGGAUCAACAACCAUAAGCUGCAAAUUUUCAGUAGUCUUCCCUUGUACAUUUGAAUCAAUAGGAUGACUUACUGGUAUUAAUUAUGGCUGUUGUUGAUUUUCUGUUGUUGCAGGUGCUUAACUGAACUAAUCAUCAGCUUCUGGAGGUAAAAAGGUAGAGAGUCCUUUUAACCAAGCUGCAAACAAAGGAGUUGAAGAUGCAUUCUGUUGAUCUGUGUAAGUGUCUGCAAACGGAAAGAACUCUUCUGCAAACAAGACAUGCCGACUUAUAUAAACUCGGCCUGUUGGUGGAUAGAAGCAGCGAUACCCUUUGUAUUUUUC